rnacentral:rRNA from 1 species
GAUGAACGCUGGCGGCGUGCCUAAUACAUGCAAGUCGAGCGAACAGACGAGGAGCUUGCUCCUCUGACGUUAGCGGCGGACGGGUGAGUAACACGUGGAUAACCUACCUAUAAGACUGGGAUAACUUCGGGAAACCGGAGCUAAUACCGGAUAAUAUAUUGAACCGCAUGGUUCAAUAGUGAAAGACGGUUUUGCUGUCACUUAUAGAUGGAUCCGCGCCGCAUUAGCUAGUUGGUAAGGUAACGGCUUACCAAGGCAACGAUGCGUAGCCGACCUGAGAGCCGGAUCGUCGACACUGGAACUCAGACACGGUCCAGACGCCUACGGGAGGCAGCAGUCGGGAAUCUUCCGCAAUAGGCGGAAGCUUGACGGAGCAACGCCGCGUGAGUGAUGAAGGUCUUCGGAUCGUAAACCUCUGUUAUUAGGGAGAAACAAAUGUGUAAGUAACUAUGCACGUCUUGACGGUACCUAAUCAGAAAGCCACGGCUAACUACGUG